CACAAGAACAGAAAGGAGGGCAAAAAGGAAGGCAAAGAAGAGAAGAUUUAUUUAGAAGCUCCAUCAUUCCGCAACCCACUGAAAGCUUCACAGUAUGCACAGUACCAGUAUUUCAGCAUCUAUAUUCUCUACACAUGACUUCUUGCCAUUAUCUUUACCACAACAUUAGCUCUGAUGCGUCACAAAAAUCUCUAGGGUAAAGAAAUGACUUAUGAAUGAAUUACCUGAAGCAAAUCAUCAAGAAAAUAAAUGUAAACGUCACAAUUUGACAUUCAAUUUCAUUAAUAUUGGGGG